CUAAGAAAAAAACCCAAAACUAUGGAAGAUGAAUUCAUGGUGGGAAGAUUCACACUGGAGUAAAUAUAUUAACAUUCAAUGCUGUACUCUGCAAGAAAAUCCAGUGACUGCAUUAGGGAUAUUCAUGAUAUGAGAUAUAAAACAUCAUGGUUUUCAAAAUAUGUCCCUAAUUUGGCAUGCUCAAAUAAAUAAGGAGAACAAAUUAUAAAGCCUUUGCUUUUUGCAAGUAUUCAGAAAGAAAUGUGAUGAAGAACAAGUUUGUUCAAGACCUGUUUUUCAGAUCUGCAUUGACUUCUACCCACAUCAAUCAGUCCUUGUCAGGGAAAGUAAAUGUUUCACAGACUGGAUCAAACACUGGUUAAUAAGUUAUUUGAGAAUCAAUCUAUAUUUAUCCAGGUUCUGCCUGUUAAUACACAUUGUGGAUUAUUUCCGCUUCUAACCUCUACAUUUCUCUGUGGGUUUAUUAUUGAGUAUUCCAAAAGCAGAGUGGUAAAAUGCUCUAGCUGAAAAACAAAACAGACUGGAAAAACAAAAAUGCAAUAGAUCUGGAAAGCUCAUUUGAAAUUUAUGAGGGAUUUGAAUUUGAAUAUCUGAAUUUGCCAGCCCACAAAGGAAGAAAGUAGGGGGCUGCGAGUGAAGAAGUUUCCUGUGGUUCUUCCUUUAUAAAAAGCGACAAAGGAAGGAACUCUGUACUCAGGCAGGCUUUGUAAAGCUGUUCAGUCUGUGCCUACAUCAAGACUGCUGUCAGGAUGGUGACAGAGCUCAGGAAAGCUUUCUGGGCAUUAACUUGUCUGCUCUUACCUCUGUUCACACAUCCACAGCAUAAGGACCCUGUCCACUGACCUGCAGCUUCCAGAAAACAGAUAGGUUUGGUACACUGUAUGUUCAAAUAAAUUGUAAGAUCUUUUCUCACAGGAUGCAGAGUUUGGCACUCUCUUUCAGUAUUUGCUACUGGAGGUAACUGUAUAUAAUGCAUCCAAGACAGUUUUGCAUAAACCAGGGGUUCUCUAUUUCCAUAAUGUGGAUCACAUCCAAACAGAGGGACUCCUUUUUAGUCUCAAAUACCACAUUCAGUCUUAUGGGCAAAUAACAAUCCUACAACAGCAUUUUUUUUACAAGGACUUUUGAUAUCUUUUCACAAUAAUAAGCUAAAAACCAGGCAAUAAUACCUAGAACAAGGCAAUCCAACAGAUGGUUUCCUACAGAACACAGAAGUGCUGACUAGUGUGUAAAUUGUUCAUGGUCUGAGGACCAUGAAUCAUUGCAUCCCUCAUAAAAAUAGACCUUGGAAACCUACUUAUCUGAAUACAAUUGGUAUGUGCAAAUAAGGACUGUAUGUAGGUUAAGAAGGCAAAAGGAUACAGAAGAGCUUUCAGAAAGAAUGACUGGGUUCAGGGAAGUUUUGUGACUCAGGGAAUGGGAUGCUGUUUUACUAAAGAGCAUGUGCAUGCUUCUAUGACAGUCAUAGACCAGGGAGAGCACUGGUUUUUGAAAGACAGGAUAGUAGGUUUUUAGCUGUUUGGGUGCUAAGAGCUGUCUUGACAUAGAAAACUGGGAAAAUAAAGCCACUUCUUAGAACUGGGGAAGCAACUUCAGGGAGGAGCUAUGGAACUCGAAAGGACGGGUUUGAAGAGGAAGAUUAACUCCCUGGAACUGUCAAGCUCGAGCUAGAUGCUGAAAUAAAUAAAUAUGAAAGCGAUAGUUUGCAGCUAAAAGACCUUACUGUCUCUCUUUGGUGCUACUCCGGAAGAAAAGCAUAGAAACCUCUCUGAGAAGAAAGGUUGCCUUUGUCACAUCUUAGUGGUAAAGUUUAUAAAACAGACAAUGCUAGCUCUUAGGCAGGCAGCAUAAAGAGCAGGGGGGGAAGGACCUGUGCUGGCACAAUGCCUCUUUUUGGCUGUGAAGUGGUAACUAUGAAAUAGUUCCUCAGUUUGGUUUAACUUCUUCUAAAGGAUAAACUGACCUAGUAGAGGGUGAAGGGAAAUUAAUACAGUUCAUGACUGAGGACAUGUCUUUUUUUUGUAGGAGAUGAAGAAGUAAGCAGCAUACUUUUGAAUUUAGGACAGAUCUGAGUUCAAUGAACUGAUACCUGGAAGGCUGGUGACAUUCAUGCUUUACGCAGUGUAUUAAUUAAAAGGAAACCACUAGCAGCCUGUGGCCGGAAUAGGUGCUUUUGACUUAAGUAAAUGAAUUCAUUAAAUUAAAAAAUGGUGAGGCUACAACAAUAGAGCGAGGAAAUGAAGACAUGAUUAUGAGGGUCAGCAUAGCAUUGGCUAAGAUAAAGCACAACACAGAUGGCUUUUCAGAGAUGACAGGCUAAAGGAUUGCUGAUAUGGAAGAUAUCUACAACAACUGAGAAUUGAAUUUAACAGUAGAAUCAUAUUGUUUUUCCAUGGCCUUGAACUUUCUUUUCUUAAGCAAUCAAAAUUUGGCAGAGAUUUUUAAUGGCACUCAUAUGUGCCUGUUAUGUUUCAUAAUGCUUCUACUAGAAGAAUGCUUCUACCACAUCUAUUAAAAUGUUUAUAGUUUUGCACUUUUGCAUAAUUACAUCUGUCCCAUCAGAAAAAUUUCUAGGCUACCAGUUGCUGUCACUUACCAGGUGCUGUCACAGUUAGUGACAGCAACUCUGAUUAGGUUCCACUAGUUAUUGAAAUUAAUGAAAAGUACCUGCAAAUCAAGAAGUAUCAUUGGUAUUUGUAGAUUUUUUUUUUUAAAGCUCUGUAAGGACAGCUGAACUCUUCUGUUAAAGGAGCAAAUGCAGAUGAAAACUAAGCAUUACAGGAAAACGUACUGUUGGCAGUAUUGGAGAUUUUAAAGUACAACAUUCAAAUUGUUAAUUUGCUAAAGGAGUUUGCAACUCAUGCCACCUUGUUUUCAUGGAAGACUUCCAAACAAGUUUUCAACAAUCAUCUGAGCUGUAAGAUCAGCCUUGUAUCAUAUGAUGCAGGGAUAGAAAAAUCACAAGCUUGAAAAAAGGAAAUGCAGAGCUGCUGUACAAUUAACCAUUUCCUCUUUUAUAUUUUGUGCAUGCAUCUGAAUAAUGACUGACUGUAAAUUCCACUACUUCCCAUGGAAAACUAACACUAAAUUUAAAAGACAAUUUUUCUGCACCACGUUUGUUCCUGGCUUCUAUCACAUUUACUGAAUUUUCAUAUAUCUAUCUGUGCCUUAGGAGACCCCCUCACCUUUACAAAAAUGUAUUUUUGAAAAUAAGCCUUAAGAACCUUCCAGACUCAGGGGUAGAAAAGGAAGGAAAAUCAGAACUAAGACAGGGUGUGUGCUGGAGAGAAGAGGGAGUCCUCCAAGAGACCAUAAAUUUCUCUUCAUUUUACCAACAUAUAGAUUCAUGUUGGUAAUCCAUGUGGCUGCUGAAUCAUAGAUUUAUUUUACAAGUAACCUGUAGGUCUUACAAAUAAAAUUUCAGUGCUGUAAAAUCAUUGUAUGGACACAUAAGACCUGAGUGAAUCACACGCAUUUCAAAUCUUCUGGUCCUGGAGGUGAGCAGCACAGAAUCUGCAGAUAAAAGCAAUGCCAUCCAAAAUAUCAUCACUUUGGGGUCUGUGGAGACAGUGGCGGGGAUGUGAUGUGCUGGGGGCUAGAAUGAUAAUUUUCCACAUGUUCGGUGUUAAACAAGUCUAUAAAUCAAGGCUCCAGGAAUCAAUUUUUCCCAUGUUCAUUUUGGGGGACAGUAAGUGAAGCUUGUCUGCAUAACAUGUGAAUGAUUCAUAUUUUAGGCAUUUUCACCAUGCCUAAGAUCUCACUUGUCUCUUCCCAAUACAACUCUAAGGUUUUGUACUCUAAGUCAAAAGCUUAUGAAAAGGAGUUGAGAUGAUUUUGUGAUUUAUGAGAGGUAGUGACAGGCAUGGAAUGGAUGUGCUGUGACAUCUUCAGAAGAUAGUUGGUCACCUGUGACCACAGCAGACCCUUCCUGGUGAUUACAUUGUCCCUCCCAGUCCUUUCAUCUGUUUUUGUCCUGUGCGCACCAGUGCUAGAGGCUGUGAAAAGCUGGUGUCUGCUGUCUUUAGGGAAAUCUGUGGAUUUCAUACUUGACUCACAGACAUCUAUGUUGCACCACUGAUGAUGCUAAUUUACAAAGACAGUUAAUACUGAAGGCUAUCAGUGUAUCUACUGAUCAUAUGCAUCUGGAGACUAAGAAAACAUCUUCACAAUAUGAAAAGAAGCAGUUUCCACCAAUGUGACUCAGUCCUAAGUAUAUGAGGUUUUUGCUUCAUGGUUCAGCAUCUGUACUACUUGCUGCAUCUGAAGGCAGUUAUCAACAGUCAAAAGUCAGCAAGAAAUCUCCCAGCAACUUCAAGAGCAAAGAGAAAAGGUGCUAAACUACUAUGUAUCAUUCUCCCAAUUCAGGGUUAAGCAACACAGUCAAAAAGCGGCAACUACUCUUGCCCAUUUCAUACUCUGUGCUGAGAGAAUUUUUGCUUCCUGAUCUCUUAAUCUAGUUCUUAUCAGUGUUCUCCUUUUACCGAAAGGAAACCACGGACAAAUACAUAUCAGACUUAGCAAUAUACUUAAAUGGAGAGAUGAAAAAAAUGUCAUUUAUGGCUGCCCAUUUAUCAGCAUCUCUGUCAUUCUGAGAAAUAGAGAUGAAAAGUUAAAAAACACCAAUGCAUUUCAACUCUGCCAUUCCUAGGAUUAGUCUUUCUGUGCAUGCUUCUCUGCCUUGCAGGGUAAACACAUAAAGCAAUGAAUAGACAAGAAGCACUCCCAGCAAAAGAGAAUUUACAAAUCUUCAAACGAUGUUGAAUGUGAGUGGGCAGACCGUGACAAAAUGUUCACACUUCAUCAAAUCUAACUAGUUUGCCACUACAUAUUUAUGCUAUAAACUGUGAACUGGAGUUCCUCUGUGGGAGAGUAACCUAAAUGAAAUGACAAGAAGCAAAAAGACAACUGCUUUUGCAGCCCAUUCCCUGAUGUGCACUGAUAUAUACCACACUCAGCCACCCCCUACACUUCUGUGCUCAGUCUCUCACAACUUGACUUUUUUCUGUGAAGGCUAAUUAAAAGGCAAAGACAUUAGACCAAUGAAACACAAGGAAAAUUGCUGAAAACAUGUUGAGAAUGGGCACUCCCAUGAAUGAGGCAGAGAGGAAUAUGUUUACAGUUCUUUCACUGCUCCAAAGAAAGUUCACCAAGAUGCUACCAGAG